CCAUACCCUGGAUUCCAGUCCCUACUGGAGAUAGGAUCUUCACAGAUGAGAUCUCAAGGUUUAAGAUCUCAAGAAGAGCUCGUCCUAGACAAUCCAGGUGGUACAGCUAUGUGCAGUGGGGAGCAGCCUGGCCAUCUGCCCUUUCGGCUCAGGCAGUGAGCCCCUUAUAUUCUGGCUCGGCCACAGACAUUUGGUGUGGGGUAGGGGUCAGGUGGAACAUGAUAGGGGAUCGUAGAAAGCACAAGGCCAAGGGGCAGCCCUGUAAGGAGGUUGGAGAUGGCACGCUGUGACAGCAGCUGAAUGUCCCAUAGGCCGGCACAGGGCUAUUGCAUAUGCUGGGCCUGCCUUUCUGCAGGUGCCCUUCACUUGGCCCGAUGCUUACCUGGGUCUUGGCCAUCAGACCUGGGUCAAGCAUGAGGAGAGCUCUGUCCCAUCCCGCACAUGAGUCUUGCUCACACCUGUCACUCUGCACUGUCUUGAGAGGGCUUGUGCCCUGGGGAAUUUCUACAGUAAGUUAAAACUUCACAUCUUUCUUUCACCUCAAAAAAAAAGAACCUGUGGACCGAUUUUAAGCCACCUCAGCACAUAAGGGGUGCAGCUGGGGUUUGGCCCACUCAGUCUGGCUCCAAAGGUCCCAUGGUCCCCACUGUGGCCGGUGCUCUCUAUGUUCCGUGGCAGCUCCACCUCUCAGCCCCACGUACAGACUGUGUCCCUUGCACAGUUAGUAAGUCCUUCUGGCUCCUUGCCCCGGGCGAGAGGUCAGGCGCCAUGGCUAUCAUGGAGGCCCUCUGGGAGUCACCGGGAAGUAUGGCCCUAGAACAGAGGUUUCCAAACCUACUAGAGAGUGCAGAGACAAUUAGGAAGGCACCCUGGGCCCUCUGUGAUUCUGCUUUGAAGCUGCAAUUCCGGGCUACUCCCAGAGACACCUAAAAACACCCACCCAAAGCUCAGCGCUGCCCAGAACUCUCAUCAAGAGCUGCCUUUCUGCACAGCUUCCAUGCAAUUUCCUCGGAUGUCCCUGGAGGCCUUCCACAACUUCCUGGGCCUAACUUCCGCCUCGCCUCAGUGCUAAUGAGCCACUCACUGGCUGCUCCCUCUAGAUACCUGCCAGUCCCCUGCCCUGCCCUGUCCUCUGCAGCUUUCCUCCCCAUCUUUGAAAUCCUCCCUGAUUCCCCCACGUUAGCUAGUCCUUCUCUUUGGCUCCAUAGGACUUUGUGCAGACCAGUCAAGCUGCCUUUGACACUCUGUGUUGUGGAUUUCGAUCCUCCACAAGAAAGAUCUCUCCAUGAGAGUAAAAUCUUCCGUAGAGCUGAGCGGAAGGUAGACGCUCCGGAUGUGGCUGAUAGAUGGAUGGGCAGACAGGCAGGUGGAUGGAUGAACUCUUGGCUGGAGGAAGGAUGAGUGAAUGGAUGGGUGAGUGGAUGGAUGGCUGAUA
rnacentral:lncRNA from 1 species